AGCAGUCGCCGCGGUAAUACGUAGGUGGCAAGCGUUGUCCGGAUUUAUUGGGCGUAAAGCGAGCGCAGGCGGUUUCUUAAGUCUGAUGUGAAAGCCCCCGGCUCAACCGGGGAGGGUCAUUGGAAACUGGGAAACUUGAGUGCAGAAGAGGAGAGUGGAAUUCCAUGUGUAGCGGUGAAAUGCGUAGAUAUAUGGAGGAACACCAGUGGCGAAGGCGGCUCUCUGGUCUGUAACUGACGCUGAGGCUCGAAAGCGUGGGGAGCAAACAGGAUUAGAUACCCCAGUAGUCCCUGUCUCUUAUAC
rnacentral:rRNA from 1 species